CAACGACGCACACGAUGACGUCGUGCUUCGGCCUCAAGCUCGUCCCCCGCUUUGAGCCGAAUGUCGGAGCGGACGAUCCCAUCCCCCCUCACGGGAUCCCGCUCUAUUGAGAAGGAGCCGUCGCGACAACCCCCCUCCAGUCCGCGACGGCUCUUU
rnacentral:sRNA from 1 species